CUACGUGCCAGCAGCCGCGGUAAUACGUAGGGUGCGAGCGUUAAUCGGAAUUACUGGGCGUAAAGCGGGCGCAGACGGUUACUUAAGCAGGAUGUGAAAUCCCCGGGCUCAACCUGGGAACUGCGUUCUGAACUGGGUGACUAGAGUGUGUCAGAGGGAGGUAGAAUUCCACGUGUAGCAGUGAAAUGCGUAGAGAUGUGGAGGAAUACCGAUGGCGAAGGCAGCCUCCUGGGAUAACACUGACGUUCAUGCCCGAAAGCGUGGGUAGCAAACAGGAUUAGAUACCCUGGUAGUCCACGCCCUAAACGAUGUCGAUUAGCUGUUGGGCAGCUUGACUGCUUAGUAGCGAAGCUAACGCGUGAAAUCGACCGCCUGGGGAGUACGGUCGCAAGAUUAAAACUCAAAGGAAUUGACGGGGACCCGCACAAGCGGUGGAUGAUGUGGAUUAAUUCGAUGCAACGCGAAGAACCUUACCUGGUCUUGACAU
rnacentral:rRNA from 1 species